rnacentral:rRNA from 1 species
CAGUCGCCACGGUAAUACGGAGGGUGCAAGCGUUAAUCGGAAUUACUGGGCGUAAAGCGCACGCAGGCGGUCUGUCAAGUCAGAUGUGAAAUCCCCGGGCUUAACCUGGGAACUGCAUUUGAAACUGGCAGGCUGGAGUCUUGUAGAGGGGGGUAGAAUUCCAGGUGUAGCGGUGAAAUGCGUAGAGAUCUGGAGGAAUACCGAUGGCGAAGGCAAUCCCCUGGGCCUGUACUGACGCUCAUGCACGAAAGCGUGGGGAGCAAACAGGAUUAGAUACCCCGGUAGUCCCUGUCUCUUAUAC